UUUUUUUUUUCCUUUUGGCCACCCCAAGGCAUAUAGAGUUCCUGGGCCAGGGAUCAGAUUCAACCUCAGUUGCAACCUAAGCUGCAGCUUCAGCGACGCUGGGUCAGGAUAGAACCCCAGCACUCCUAAGAUGCCACCAAUUCCCUUGGACCACAGUAGGAACUCCAAAAAACCAUUUCCCCAAGAGUUUUGAGGACCGUGGCAGGCAGGAAAAUGGCCCUCAAGCAUGUUUACAUCUUAAUCCCUGAAACCUGUGAAUCUGCUGCCUUAUAGGACAGGUGUGAUGAAGUUAAGAAUCUUGAGAUGGGAGUUCCCGUCGUGGCGCAGUGGUUAACGAAUCCGACUAGGAACCACGAGGAACUCUGGGAAUUUUAUUUCUUUAGCCUUCACCUCCUUUGCCACAUGUGUAGAAUUAUACAUCUUUAAGACUGAACAGAACUUUGGAGCUCGUUCAAUCCCCUCUUACUUUCCAACAUAAGAACUAAAGCUCACAUCGGUCAAAUGGACUAAAUUAAUGUAUUCUUAAUUUGCAUAUUGCUUCACAACUGAACUGAACUCUUCUGUGUGAGCCCUGAUCAGGCCAUCAGGCCGAGACUAAACAUCUUGGGCAGGGAGGAACUAUUAAUUAACUGGAAGCUCAGAAUCAGGAACAGGUGAGAAUGAUAAUGUGCCUGAGGCAAGGCUGGUCCUAGGUAAGGAAUCCACCGAAAGGCAAGCGUGUUCCUUGGGACUGCAGAUGCAGAGAUUCUUUAAAGUACGAUGAUCCCAGUGGCCAGAGGAAUAUUUUGCAGGACCUCAGCUCUCUUUCGAGGGACAACUUUAGGAAUGAACAGAACUUUGGAGCUCAUCCAAUCCCCUUUUACUUUCCAAGAGACACUGUGAGGAUGUCUUCCCAGGCCAUUCAUUGCAAAUGUUGAGGGACAGCCCUGAUACCUCUGCCAGGUCAGCCCUCAGCCACUCCAUGCUCCUAAAGGGUGGAAAUCAGUGCUGAGGGGGACCAGGAGCACUAAGACACAGACACAGACACAGACACAGACACAGACACAGACACAGAGAAAAACAAACAGGGAGUGAGAGAAUGAAUAUUUAAGGGUGAAAUGUGGAGUUCCUUUUGUGGUUCAGCAGGUUAAGAACUCAACAUAGUGUCUGUGAUGAUUCAGGUUCUAUCCCUGGCCUUACUCAGUGGGUUAAGGAUCUGGUGUUGCUGCAAGCUGCUGUGCAGGGCACAGAUGCAGCUCAGAUCCCAGUAGGUGGGCAGCUGCACCUCCAGUUCGACCCCUAGCCUGGGAACUUGCAUAUGCAGUGGGUGUGGCCAUAGAAAGAAAAAGAAAAAAAGAGUGAAAUGUAAAAUCCAUCCCAGACUAUAUUCCUAAAAUGUCAAACUUAGAAGAUGACAUAAGCAAGGGAACCCUUCACUUAAAGGCACAUAAGUUGCUCAGAUUCUUCCAUCUGGGGAGGAGGAAGGGACCUGGGCACACCCACGUGCCCCCCACCAGAUUUCCAGGGGGAGACUGGCUGUGAGCAGGGCUCUGGGAGCAGGAGGGACAGAAGUCAAAUGACUGUCACAUUCUCUUCCUGGGUCAUUUCUAUAAACAAAGCAGGCACACAUCAGUUAUCAGUUGUUAUCAUUGUUCCUGUGGGAUCAAGGGUCAGAGUCCAGGCCCAGCUUUGCUCUGGGAUUUGCCCGGAAGACUUGGAGCAAGUCCUCCUACCUUGCUGCACCUCCAAGACCUCGGCUAGGAAGAGAAGGGAUUUGGAGGGGUUGAGGGGGGGAAAUCUCCCUGAGGUCCCUUCCACCCCCGAGUGUCUAAGACCCCUUCUGGCUUUGGUUGAGAGAAAGUGCUGGCUAGUACAGGGUGAGCUUGCUAUCCUAAACCACUAAGCCCAGUCCAGCUACCCUGGGCUCUGCACUUACUCACCCUGCUACUCAAUAGCUGUGUGUGACCUUGGCCAGCUUUCAUAACCUCCCAAUGCCUGUCUCCCCCAUGUAUAAACUGGGACUAACAAUAGUAUCCACAUCAGUAUUGCAAUGAGGAGUAAAUGAGAUACAAAAGAAGCCUUUGCAAUCAGGCCACAACAGAAGACACAUUUUUCAUCACCAUCACUUGGAGUUUCUCGCCCACCUGUUCGCGACAUUUCUCCACCGAGACAUGCAAUCUUUGCUGAUCACCAACACAACAGACUCCCAUGGGUGGACGGAGCCAUGAAAGAGAUCCAAAACUAUUGUAUCGGAAGACUGUUCAGUGUGGGAUAUUAUAAAACACAUCUUACCAGCACACCAGAACUUCGAAGCAGACUGCGCUCAGAAUGACAGCACUAAGGAGCAGAGCUUUGGUCAGAGUUGGUGGGAGGAGCUUGGGCAGGACGCGUGGGCAGUAUCUGGUACCCACUGCCUCAAGGGCCGGCCCCUCAAAUCAAGGAGGGAUGCAAAUCAGUGAGGCUGUUAUUCUUCUAAGGAUAACCUUGAAGGGCUGACUUUUCAAAAAAAGUAAAUCAGUUGCAAACACCGGUACUCUUACAGGUAACAAAACACUUGGAUAUAGCAAGGUCUUGAGUUCAGGGGCAAAAGGGUGGAGAAAUACUCCUUAGCCAUCCUAGGUAACCACCCCAGCUGGGGCCAAGGUCCAGCAGGCACACAGACACACAAGCAUGGCAGUGGGGGGUGCCAGUUUUCAGGGAGAACCCUCCCCCACCAAACUCUAUCACAAUAGCUUAUUCCCCUUGCCUGUCCAGAUUUUUGAGGAUGGAUAAAGGGCCCUGACAGGAAGAUGCCUGUUCCCUUUGCAGAAGGUUAGGUAUUCAGACAAGAGAGCUAUUGUGAGAUUUUGAAGAAACACAGCAAUUCCUCCAACCCUUCUCAUGCAUAAAUACUGCCUUCUGGAUAUGACAAAGUUGGGGACGGAGAUACUUCAUUGUGGCAAUGAAAAAAAACAAACAAAUAAAUGCAACAGUCCAAGUGGGCAAACAGAGAUCAAGUCCCAACUCUUCUAGCUGAAAACAUGGUUAAUGUACUAAGGCUCCUGGGACCCAUCUUGGCAGCUUUCCAAGAGAUAUUAGUUUGCAUUAACACACUGAAAGAGAAGGUCAGAUGAAUUAAAAGUAAGAAGGUAAUUUUGAAGGAGGACAUCUUCAUAACAGUACCAGCACCUACCACGCGUGGCUCAAGGUGGCUGCCUGAUAAACUCUCGGUGAGAACUCGCAGCUGGCACUGAGGUCACGACUAUGCUCGGAUUUUUCAUCUACAGCCAGGAUGCAAGAUAGUAUGGGGACAUAGCUUUGAUUAGAGACUUUAAGAAGAUGACGUUGGGAAGAUCUUUACUCAAUUCUGAACAGAAACUGAAAAGUAUUACCAUCUUCUGGCUAUUAAGAGUGACCCUAUACUUCAAAGCAAUUAUGAUCUUUAAAGGCAGCCUAGUAAAAGGUGUAUUGGCAUGUACCAAAUUUCUUUCUUUCUCUCUUUCUUUCUUUCUUGCUACACCCAUGGCCUUCAGAAGUUCCUGGGCCAGGGAUCAAACCCAAGCCACAGCUGUGACAAUGCUGGAUCCUUAAACCUCUGAGCCGCCAGAGAACUCCCCAAAUUUAUCUCUGACUCAAACUUCUCAACAGUCACCCACCUGGCACCCUCCCCCAAAUAUAAAGUUACUACCUACCCCCCCGCCCUGCUCUCUCUUUUUUUAAAGAACCUAGAUUGUGAAACGCACACACUUCCUUUAGCCAAAACCAUCUGUUAACAGUUCACCUGACACCAAGACCCUUUCCCAAACUGACAUUUCGCUAUAACAAGUCCCCAGGGAAAAUGCUCCUGACAGCACAGGCUUUCCCAAAACCUACUGUGCUAACAUCAAGGGAGAAUAACACCCCCAACCAACCGCCACCCUACCUUCCUACAGCCAAGAGACCAAGAUAGUUAAGGAGGAGGGAAUAAAAUGAGCUCCCGCUGCUCUUUAAGACUUUUAGGAAGGAGCAGAGCAACUACCUGCCUGGAGGACCAAGAGUGCAAAAGGACAGGAACUUUCCAACCCAAGUCUCACUGAUGACUGCUCCUGGCAGUUUUCCAGACAUCUCUGCCGGGGACAUGGGUCACUGCCUAUGCCCUGCCAAAAUCAUCCUGAGGGUGACUCUGCAGUGACUUAGAUUCCCCAGCCACGUGAAGCAUUAGGAAAAGUCAUGUCAAAUGUCAGAGUGACAUCUGGAACCUAUGAUGAGGAACCCCACGUCUUAGCGAAAGAACCAAAAGGGGUACCCUCAGCUGAGAUCACAAAGGGACUCUGGCAUGGCAAUGCUUUGGGUGGCCAGCUGGGCAGAAGGCUGGUUGGUUAUUUUUAAUCGAGAAAACUGAAUGGGAAGGGAGCAAAUUUGAAUUCCUAUGAUCUCGUGAGGUCCCUUCCAGCUCCAAGAUGCUACCAAAGGAACACUGCAGAUGCACAUACAUAUGCACGGGCUUCUUUAUAAAAACGUAUAGACAAAUGUGUGAAUAUAUAUGAGUACUGUAUUCACACUUCUAAACACAAAGAACUGGAAAUGCACACUGCUGAGGAGAUUCAAAGGCCCAUGAGCUGCUUGGCAGCCACAGCUGGAAUACACAGAUGUCACUGGCAGAUCUGAACAGAGCCCCCCAACCCUCCUGCCACUACAGUUGCCUUAAUAUCAACUGACAGCUGCAUGGGUAGGUGCAAACCCUGCAAAGCCCCAAACCAGGACUGCAGACUCCUUUCUCCCAGUGACCCUAGUCACAAGUGUCCCAAACCCAGGUAGGUGGGCUGGAACAAAGGAGAUGAAAAUCUCAAACCUGUGUCCAGACACAGCAGUGUCCUUCUCCUCUUCCUCUAGUCCUACAAGAGGCAGGAGGGUCACCACCUUCUUCCCCUCCCACCAUAUUGUCUCCAGGGCCUUUCCAUUUCAAGUUCACUACACAAACAUCAAGUUGAUAACUGGAGAAAACCAAAAAGCCCUCUAGAAAGGGGAGCUUUGCUCUAAUCCUAAUAGAGCCAAUCCUAAUCCUGAGAGUGCCUAUCUUAGGCCUGAACAAUACCAACAAAAAGAAUUUGCAGGAGGAGAAAAAAAUUCCUUUAUUAAGACAGAUCUGGGAUGGUCUGACCA
rnacentral:lncRNA from 1 species